CUUGAAAAGCAACUUUUAUUGAAGAAUUUGGAGGGAAAGGGGAGGGCUUUCCUGUCACAAAGAUUAAAAACCCCCAAAAUGCAUUUGACCAACAUGAUACACAAUAACAAAUUUAAACCUUGCUCCUCUGUCCCACUGGGUAAACCCUGGCCCAUCCCCCAUCCCUGGUCCCAUCCCAGGGGCCCAGCCUCCAAUGACGUCCUCAGAGACACGGCCUUAGUGCUGGGGGCUGCCGUGUGCCUGCCACCCCCAGGAGAGGGUGCCGGCCAGCAUGCCAUAGUGAGGUUGCAUCUGGUGCCACCAGGCUGAACUGAGGCCCAGGGCCCCAGAGAGAUGACAGAUAGCUGGUGACAGACAGCCCAGGGCGGCUGGCUGACAGAGUGAGGGGACACGUGGGCAGGACCUGCCCGGCCCCCCAACGCCACAUUGCGCAUAGCUGCAGAAGUCCUUAACAUUUCCCUAUGUGAAUCGGAUUGUUCUGAGGGCUGAGGCCACGUCCGGAGAACAAACUGGAUGAAAUAAAUUAAAACCCGCAGGACAAUUUUCUUCCCUACCCCGCUGCGGGGGAGGGUGCUGCCCACAGCACAAAAACGUCUUUCCACCUGGGCUCAGGAGGACGGCGUGGCUUCUCUCAAAUGCACCCGAGAAAUAAAAACCAUUAA
rnacentral:antisense_RNA from 1 species